rnacentral:sRNA from 1 species
UGUAACUUUCGCCGACGCCAACGUGCACGC